AUUGAACGCUGGCGGCAGGCUUAACACAUGCAAGUCGAGCGGAGAUGAGGUGCUUGCACCUUAUCUUAGCGGCGGACGGGUGAGUAAUGCUUAGGAAUCUGCCUAUUAGUGGGGGACAACAUUCCGAAAGGAAUGCUAAUACCGCAUACGUCCUACGGGAGAAAGCAGGGGAUCUUCGGACCUUGCGCUAAUAGAUGAGCCUAAGUCGGAUUAACUAGUUGGUGGGGUAAAGGCCUACCAAGGCGACGAUCUGUAGCGGGUCUGAGAGGAUGAUCCGCCACACUGGGACGGAGACACGGCCCAGACUCCUACGGGAGGCAGCAGUGGGGAAUAUUGGACAAUGGGGGAAACCCUGAUCCAGCCAUGCCGCGUGUGUGAAGAAGGCCUUAUGGUUGUAAAGCACUUUAAGCGAGGAGGAGGCUACUGAGACUAAUACUCUUGGAUAGUGGACGUUACUCGCAGAAUAAGCACCGGCUAACUCUGUGCCAGCCGCCGCCGUAAGAC
rnacentral:rRNA from 1 species